CCUACGGGGGGCAGCAGUGGGGAAUCUUGCGCAAUGGGCGAAAGCCUGACGCAGCAAUGCCGCGUGAGGGAAGAAGGUCUUAGGAUUGUAAACCUCUUUCAGCAGGGAAGCGGUACCUGCAGAAGAAGCCCCGGCUAACUACGUGCCAGCAGCCGCGGUAAUACGUAGGGGGCGAGCGUUGUCCGGAAUCAUUGGGCGUAAAGAGCGUGUAGGCGGACUGGAAGGUCUGGUGUGAAAGCCCGGGGCUCAACCCCGGAGGGUCACCGGAAACCGACAGUCUUGAAUCUGGAAGAGGAGAGUGGAAUUCCUGGUGUAGCGGUGGAAUGCGCAGAUAUCAGGAGGAACACCAAUGGCGAAGGCAGCUCUCUGGUAAUAUUGACGCUGAGACGCGAAAGCGUGGGGAGCGAACAGGAUUAGAUACCCUUGUAGUC
rnacentral:rRNA from 1 species